AGCGUACACGGUGGAUGCCCUGGCAGUCAGAGGCGAUGAAGGACGUGCUAAUCUGCGAUAAGCGUCGGUGAGGUGAUAUGAACCGUUAUAACCGGCGAUUUCCGAAUGGGGAAACCCAGUGUGAUUCGUCACACUAUCAUUAACUGAAUCCAUAGGUUAAUGAGGCGAACCGGGGGAACUGAAACAUCUAAGUACCCCGAGGAAAAGAAAUCAACCGAGAUUCCCCCAGUAGCGGCGAGCGAACGGGGAGGAGCCCAGAGUCUGAAUCAGUGUGUGUGUUAGUGGAAGCGUCUGGAAAGGCGUGCGAUACAGGGUGACAGCCCCGUACACAAAAAUGCACAUAUUGUGAGCUCGAUGAGUAGGGCGGGACACGUGGUAUCCUGUCUGAAUAUGGGGGGACCAUCCUCCAAGGCUAAAUACUCCUGACUGACCGAUAGUGAACCAGUACCGUGAGGGAAAGGCGAAAAGAACCCCGGCGAGGGGAGUGAAAAAGAACCUGAAACCGUGUACGUACAAGCAGUGGGAGCCUCUUAAUGGGGUGACUGCGUACCUUUUGUAUAAUGGGUCAGCGACUUAUAUUCUGUAGCAAGGUUAACCGAAUAGGGGAGCCGAAGGGAAACCGAGUCUUAACUGGGCGUUAAGUUGCAGGGUAUAGACCCGAAACCCGGUGAUCUAGCCAUGGGCAGGUUGAAGGUUGGGUAACACUAACUGGAGGACCGAACCGACUAAUGUUGAAAAAUUAGCGGAUGACUUGUGGCUGGGGGUGAAAGGCCAAUCAAACCGGGAGAUAGCUGGUUCUCCCCGAAAGCUAUUUAGGUAGCGCCUCGUGAAUUCAUCUCCGGGGGUAGAGCACUGUUUCGGCAAGGGGGUCAUCCCGACUUACCAACCCGAUGCAAACUGCGAAUACCGGAGAAUGUUAUCACGGGAGACACACGGCGGGUGCUAACGUCCGUCGUGAAGAGGGAAACAACCCAGACCGCCAGCUAAGGUCCCAAAGUCAUGGUUAAGUGGGAAACGAUGUGGGAAGGCCCAGACAGCCAGGAUGUUGGCUUAGAAGCAGCCAUCAUUUAAAGAAAGCGUAAUAGCUCACUGGUCGAGUCGGCCUGCGCGGAAGAUGUAACGGGGCUAAACCAUGCACCGAAGCUGCGGCAGCGACACUAUGUGUUGUUGGGUAGGGGAGCGUUCUGUAAGCCUGUGAAGGUGGCCUGUGAGGGUUGCUGGAGGUAUCAGAAGUGCGAAUGCUGACAUAAGUAACGAUAAAGCGGGUGAAAAGCCCGCUCGCCGGAAGACCAAGGGUUCCUGUCCAACGUUAAUCGGGGCAGGGUGAGUCGACCCCUAAGGCGAGGCCGAAAGGCGUAGUCGAUGGGAAACAGGUUAAUAUUCCUGUACUUGGUGUUACUGCGAAGGGGGGACGGAGAAGGCUAUGUUGGCCGGGCGACGGUUGUCCCGGUUUAAGCGUGUAGGCUGGUUUUCCAGGCAAAUCCGGAAAAUCAAGGCUGAGGCGUGAUGACGAGGCACUACGGUGCUGAAGUAACAAAUGCCCUGCUUCCAGGAAAAGCCUCUAAGCAUCAGGUAACAUCAAAUCGUACCCCAAACCGACACAGGUGGUCAGGUAGAGAAUACCAAGGCGCUUGAGAGAACUCGGGUGAAGGAACUAGGCAAAAUGGUGCCGUAACUUCGGGAGAAGGCACGCUGAUAUGUAGGUGAAGCGACUUGCUCGUGGAGCUGAAAUCAGUCGAAGAUACCAGCUGGCUGCAACUGUUUAUUAAAAACACAGCACUGUGCAAACACGAAAGUGGACGUAUACGGUGUGACGCCUGCCCGGUGCCGGAAGGUUAAUUGAUGGGGUUAGCGGUAACGCGAAGCUCUUGAUCGAAGCCCCGGUAAACGGCGGCCGUAACUAUAACGGUCCUAAGGUAGCGAAAUUCCUUGUCGGGUAAGUUCCGACCUGCACGAAUGGCGUAAUGAUGGCCAGGCUGUCUCCACCCGAGACUCAGUGAAAUUGAACUCGCUGUGAAGAUGCAGUGUACCCGCGGCAAGACGGAAAGACCCCGUGAACCUUUACUAUAGCUUGACACUGAACAUUGAGCCUUGAUGUGUAGGAUAGGUGGGAGGCUUUGAAGUGUGGACGCCAGUCUGCAUGGAGCCGACCUUGAAAUACCACCCUUUAAUGUUUGAUGUUCUAACGUUGGCCCGUAAUCCGGGUUGCGGACAGUGUCUGGUGGGUAGUUUGACUGGGGCGGUCUCCUCCUAAAGAGUAACGGAGGAGCACGAAGGUUGGCUAAUCCUGGUCGGACAUCAGGAGGUUAGUGCAAUGGCAUAAGCCAGCUUGACUGCGAGCGUGACGGCGCGAGCAGGUGCGAAAGCAGGUCAUAGUGAUCCGGUGGUUCUGAAUGGAAGGGCCAUCGCUCAACGGAUAAAAGGUACUCCGGGGAUAACAGGCUGAUACCGCCCAAGAGUUCAUAUCGACGGCGGUGUUUGGCACCUCGAUGUCGGCUCAUCACAUCCUGGGGCUGAAGUAGGUCCCAAGGGUAUGGCUGUUCGCCAUUUAAAGUGGUACGCGAGCUGGGUUUAGAACGUCGUGAGACAGUUCGGUCCCUAUCUGCCGUGGGCGCUGGAGAACUGAGGGGGGCUGCUCCUAGUACGAGAGGACCGGAGUGGACGCAUCACUGGUGUUCGGGUUGUCAUGCCAAUGGCACUGCCCGGUAGCUAAAUGCGGAAGAGAUAAGUGCUGAAAGCAUCUAAGCACGAAACUUGCCCCGAGAUGAGUUCUCCCUGACUCCUUGA
rnacentral:rRNA from 1 species